UGAAUACGAGACGCUAAGGCGUCGAAGUAGUGUAUGUCAUACUUCCAAGAAAAGCUUGCACUGUCAUAGAUAAAAAACGCCUGUACCAUAACCGACACAGGUGGGUAGGUAGAGUAUACUAAGGGGCGCGAGAUAACUCUCUCUAAGGAACUCGGCAAAAUAACUCCGUAACUUCGGGAGAAGGAGUGCCUUAUUCUUAAGGUUGCAAUAACAAGAUCCAAGCAACUGUUUAUCAAAAACACAGGUCUCCGCUAAGUCGUAAGACGAUGUAUGGGGGCUGACGCCUGCCCAGUGCCAGAAGGUUAAAGAAGCUGGUUAGCAUUUGCGAAGCUAGUAACUGAAGCCCUGGUGAACGGCGGCCGUAACUAUAACGGUCCUAAGGUAGCGAAAUUCCUUGUCGGGUAAGUUCCGACCCGCACGAAAGGCGUAAUGAUUUGGAUACUGUCUCGGAGAGGGGCUCGGUGAAAUAGACUUGUCUGUGAAGAUGCGGACUACCUGCACCAGGACAGAAAGACCCUAUGAAGCUUUACUGUAACUUGAAAUUGAAAUUGGACUUUAUUCGCGCAGUAUAGGUGGGAGGCGUUGAUUAUAAUCUUGCGGGAUUAUUGGAGCCAUUAGUGAGAUACCACUCUUGUAAUGUUAGAUUUCUAACUUUGAAUCAUUAUCUGGUCAAAGAACAGAUUCAGGCGGGCAGUUUGACUGGGGCGGUCGCCUCCUAAACGGUAACGGAGGCGUACAAAGGUUUCCUCUGAACGGUUAGAAAUCGUAUCUAGAGUGUAAAGGCAUAAGGAAGCUUGACUGUGAGACCUACAAGUCGAGCAGGGACGAAAGUCGGUCUUAGUGAUCUGACGGUACUGAGUGGAAAGGCCGUCACUCAACGGAUAAAAGUUACUCUAAGGAUAACAGGCUGAUCUCCCCCAAGAGUUCACAUCGACGGGGAGGUUUGGCACCUCGAUGUCGGCUCAUCGCAUCCUGGGGCGGUAGUACGUCCCAAGGGUUGGGCUGUUCGCCCAUGAAAGCGGUACGCGAGCUGGGUUCAGAACGUCGUGAGACGGUUCGGUCCAUAUCCGGUGUAGGCGUUAGAAUAUUGAGAGGAGCCUUCUUUAGUACGAGAGGACCGAGAAGGACAUACCUCUGGUGUACCAGUUAUCGUGCCAACGGUAAACGCUGGGUAGCUAUGUAUGGAGUGGAUAACCGCUGAAAGCAUCUAAGUGGGAAGCCCACCUCAAGAUAAGUAUUCUCAUC
rnacentral:rRNA from 1 species